rnacentral:tRNA from 1 species
UUGAAUAUAGCUCAGAGGGAGAGCAUUCGGCUAUUAAGUUAGAGAAGGGUCGCAGGUUCGAUUCCUGUUGUUCGAUA